UCUGGGGAUCUAGAAAGAUUUUUAUUUUUAUUUUUAUUUUUUAUCCACGGCUAAAAGUACUAAGAGCCCGUGGCAGCUGCCUCCUGUGUGAUUAAUGGCGGAUUUGUUUGCUCGAAUGACUGCUCUCGUAAACAAUACGGGAGUGGUUGUUGAGAUACGAGAGGUCGAGAAGGGAGAUGAUGUUGGGAAAGGCAAACUAGUUGCUAGGCUGCAAAAUGGGAAUCGCAAAGUGAUCAGAGGGAUGAAAUUUUUGGAUCGAAUGGCUUAUUUGGGCCCCAGAAGCAUUCAUGUCACUGCGAUACUUGCUGCUGGUACCACCACGAAGAUCUUUCCAGCGCAGUAUUUCGCUGACUACGGACGGGUCGUCUUUCGGCUAGACAACCAAAAACUGAAGUCUGAUCCAGAAGAGAUGUCCGAUAUCCGCCGCAUGAGGCCGGUUAGGUUCUUAACAUGUGUUUGAGCAAAUCAUCAAAACGGCAGGCGCGGAUCAUGAGCAAUAUUCAUCGGGAGUGGUGACAUUGACUAUGCUGUUUUUCGGGGUGUAAUGAUUUGGGAAAGCUCUUCGAACGAAGAUCAUCUGGUUGAAUUUAGCUGGUUUGUCAUCAGGACUUUAUAUGAUUUCUGAGGAGAUCUUACGUUGGGUUAUGUAAUUUUAUUUACUCUAAUAAGACUAUUGGUGAAGUAAUUGUCAUCUGUGAUGACAAAAACCAUGACUAUUGGUGAAGUAAUUGUCAUCCAAAGCAAGUUAAUAAUGUCAAACCUUUUUAUGCUA